CCCAUUUGGCCAGUAGCGGACCUGAUUCUGCCUUAACAUUACACUUGUCACAAACGGAUGGAAAAAUUCUGGAAACAGACGUCUCAAACAGGUUUGAUGAAGUUUUACAUCCUGUAUCAGGAAAGAAGCUCCUUCCCCAACUGCCGCACCGGCACGAAGCGGACAGCCUCGUGCCAAACACACCAGCAGCCGGAAGGACCCUCACGGCGGGGCGGGACCGCUGACGCAACGCCGGCCGGCGAUUGGGGAGUCAGGCGGGAAAAGGCGACAGAGGAGGAGGAUAAAAGGGCGCGCUUCCGGCUAUACGGUGCGAGCGCGGACGAGACCACGCUCCGGUGGAUGACGGCACGGGAGACUCACGUCGUCGCCUCGGGAACCCCGACACGCCCUCAAGAAGGAGACAGAUCUGGACUGCUGGCAGGCCGGUCAAGCACACGCACUCCGUAUCUACGAAGCCAUGCUGUUGUAGCACAUGCAGAAUGAGGCCUGGCAUUGUCCUGAUAAAGUAACCAUGGACUUCCCGGGAAAAGACGUUGCCUUGAUGGCAGCAUGUGUCUCUCUUAAACCCCUCAUAUAUACGCCUCAGCGUCAAUGGUACCUUCACACAUAUGCAAGUCACCCAUGCCAUGGGCACUGAUGCACCCCAUACAUUGCACCUUUCACUUAUUACAGUCUGGUUGGUCUUUUUCAUCUUUGUCAGAGAACUCGACAUCCGUUUUUCCCGAAAACAAGCUGAAACAUGGACUCAUCUGACCACAGCACGCCUUUCCACUGCCUUUCAGUCCAUCUGAAAUGAGCUCAGGCCCAGAGAACUCGGCGGCGUUUCUGCAUAGAGUUGAUGUAUGGCUUCCUCCUUGUGUAAAAGAGUUUCAGGUUGCAUUUCUGGAUGCAGCAGCUGACUGCGUUAAGUGACAACGGUUUUCCGAAGUACUCCCGAACCCAUGUGGUUAUAUUUAUCACAGUAGCAUGAUGAUCUUUCAGGCAAAGCCGCCUGAGGGCUCGAAGAUCAUACACAUUCAACAGUGGUUUCGGCCUUCCCCUUUAAGCAAUGAGAUUUCCCCAUUUUCUCUGAAUCGUUUCACAAUAUUAUGGACUGUAGAUGGUGAAAGAUCUAAAUACUUUGCAAUCUUGUGUUGAGCACGGUUCUUUUUGAACUGACUGACAAUUCUCGCACGAAGCUUGGCACAUAAUGGUGAGCCACGACCCAUCCUUGCUAGCAAAGACUUAGCUUUUGGUGGAUGCUCCUUUUUUGACCCAAACCUGAUCCUCCAAAAUGGUUUUAUUUGAAUAUUCUAUAAACUUUUCAGAGCGUCCCAACUUUUUUUGAGUGUGUUGAAGGCAUCAAAUUCUAAAUUUGUUUAUAUUUACAAAAUACAAUUAAGUUGUUCAGUGAAAACAUUGAUGAUCUUUUCUUUGUACUUUUGUCAGUUAAUUAAAGUUUCAAGAGACUUGACAAAUCACAGAUUUUUAAUGUGUUUUAGAAAAAAUCCCAACUUUUAUGGAAAUGGGAUUAAUGUAUGAAUA
ensembl:lncRNA